GUGCUCGCUUAGGCAGCACAGAUACUAAAAUUGGAAUGAUAUAGAGAUUAGCAUGGCCCCUGAAUAAGGAUGACAUGUAAAUUCAUAAAGAAAUCUUUACUAGA